GCCUCCUUAACUCAGCGGUAGAGUACUUUCUUGGUAAGGAAGAAGCCACCGGUUCAAGUCCGGUAGGAGGCU
rnacentral:tRNA from 1 species